GACGAACGCUGGCGGCGUGCCUAAUACAUGCAAGUAGAACGCUGAAGAGAGGAGCUUGCUCUUCUUGGAUGAGUUGCGAACGGGUGAGUAACGCGUAGGAAACCUGCCUUGUAGCGGGGGAUAACUAUUGGAAACGAUAGCUAAUACCGCAUAACAAUGGAUGACACAUGUCAUUUAUUUGAAAGGGGCAAUUGCUCCACUACAAGAUGGAACUGCGUUGUAUUAGCUAGUAGGUGAGGUAAUGGCUCACCUAGGCGACGAUACAUAGCCGACCUGAGAGGGUGAUCGGCCACACUGGGACUGAGACACGGCCCAGACUCCUACGGGAGGCAGCAGUAGGGAAUCUUCGGCAAUGGGGGCAACCCUGACCGAGCAACGCCGCGUGAGUGAAGAAGGUUUUCGGAUCGUAAAGCUCUGUUGUAAGUCAAGAACGGGUGUGAGAGUGGAAAGUUCACACUGUGACGGUAGCUUACCAGAAAGGGACGGCUAACUACGUG
rnacentral:rRNA from 1 species